rnacentral:lncRNA from 1 species
GGAUCCCUAACCCACUGUGCAGACCAGGGAUUGACCCUGCUUCCCAGGGCUCCCAAGAUGCCACUGACCCCAAUGCGCCACAGUGGGAACUCCCACAAUGCCACAGUUGAUAGAUAGAUGGUAGCGAUUCCCGGAUAGAUACAUUCAAUUGAGGAAUGUUUUUCUUUGCAUAUUAUACGUAUGUCACUAAUUGAGUGGCUACAUAUGUGUGUGUGUGUGUGUGUGUGUGUGUGUCCCUUCUCCCCACCGUCCUGUGUCCCUUUGCCCACAGAUAGGACCUCAGCUAGUUGCAGUUUGCUGCGUGGUAGAGUGACUCCACUAAUCGUUCCUGGAGCAUCAGUGGUCCUGCCCGGUUCGGGUGUCGUGGCUUUUUGUUAACUUGUGUGCAUGGAAAAGGGGACCCUUGAGGAUCCCCCAGGUCCCAGACGUAGCCCUCCCUGCUCUUGGCUGUAGAGGCCUCCCAGUCAGGCAGCCACUACCUCUCCUCUUUCGUUGCCUGUGGUCUGAGGAGCACGAGAAGCCCAAACAGCCGAGUGGAGGUUUUAGCUUCAAAGGCGAUGAAAACUGUGUGGCUUUCCUUCCCCUGAGAACUCAGGUCUCCACACCGGCAGAGGCCAGCGCUGCAGGGACGUGAAGCGAAAUUUUCCUGAGUGGGUGCGGUAGCCUGAGUCAUGACCAGCCAAAGACGCCAGGUCCGCAUCUCUGGAAUUUGGAAAAUGUCACCUUAAAAGGAAAAAGGAUUUUUGCAGACGUGAUUAGGUGAAUGACCUUGACAUGGGGAGAUUCUCCUGGGCGACCGGGGCCCUAAACCCCAUUGCCAGUGUCCCUUUAAGAAACAGGCAGGAGGAGAGCUCACACACGGAAGAGGAGGAGGAACAGUGAAGACAGAAGCAGAGGUUGGAGUAAUGGGGCCGAAGGAACGCCAACGGCCACCCAGCUGGAGGAGUCACGGCACAGGUUCCUCCCUAGAGUUUUAGGAGGAGUGCAGCCCUGCUGGUACCUCGAUUUAGGCUCAGUGAGGCUGAUGCGGAACUCCUGGCCUCCAGAACUCUAGGAGAAUAAAUUCUGUUCAGUCAUCAAGUAUGUAGCAAUUUGUUGUGGCAACCACAGUGAACUAAUACUGGCGGCUAGGGAGAUGCCACGCCACCUACCUUCCUUUGAUUCCUGGCGCCUUAAAUGCCGGCUGUCAAUGAGGAUGCGGCGUUCCCAUUGUGUCUCAGCGGAAAUGAAUCUGAUUAGUAUCCACGAGGACACGGGUUCGAUCCCUGGCCUCACUCAGUGGGUUAAGGAUCCAGCAUUGCUGUGAGCUGUGCAAAGGAGCGACUGCUGUAAGAUGGGGCUUUAGAAAGAGGCAGGAGUCAAGGUUUAUGAGAUCCAUGAAUCUUUCCAAAGAGGCAGGGCUUACCAGUGAGGACAAUGGGGAGUCAGUCCAAGAUUUAGGAGUUCCCUGGUGGUUCGGUGGGUUGGGGAUCUGGUGAAGUCACUGCCGUAGCUCUGGUUGCUGCUAUGGCAGGGCUUUGACCCCUGGCCUGGGAAUUUCUGCAUGCAGCCAGCACAGCUGGGGAAAAAAAAUCUUGACCCGGGAUCAAAUCAGGGUAGACUUGCCCUUUGGAAUAUUUUCUUUGGAGGAUGGAAGACGGAUUUGAGGGAGCAAGCCUGGCCGCAGGGAGACCAGCUAGGAGAUGCUGCAGUAACCUGAGCAGGAGAUGCUGGUAACCUAGACCCGUCCCACGGCGUUUCACUAAUUGAGCAAAUGCGUGUGAAGCGCCUGCUGUAUGUCAGAGCCUGGCUCAGCACAACGUACAGGAGGAUCAGAUGCAGGAGACCCAGUUAUGGCCCUGAGGUCAUCCAGCCCCUGGGGAAAACAGAUGCACCAUUAUCCAAAGCACGCGCCACUCUUUAGCUGCUAAGUUUGUCUGACUCAGCAAGGAGGGUUUGCAGGUGGCUACGGGAGUCCCCAAACUGUCAACAAAUAUGGCCUUGAUAGCAGGUAUGAUUUUAGCUUGGUGUGUCACUUAUCUAUUGCCACGUGACAGCUCACCCGACACCUUAGCAGCGUAAAACAACAGCGGUUUUACUUUGUCUUAAUUCUGCGGGUCAGCAGUUUGGGCUGCUCUCAAAUUCUGAGCGGUUCUGCUGCUCUCACCUGGAAUCGCUGAUGUGGUUGCACUCCUCCGGCCUCUUGGCUGGGACUGGUUCUGCUGAGGUGACCUCACCCACGUGUCGGGUUUGGUGCUGGCUGUCAUGCAUGGGCAGGAUGGCCCGUCUCUGCUCUGUGGGGCUUUUCACCCUCCAGAAGGUUUGACUGGGCUUCUUCACACGGCAAGGGGGCCAGAGCAGACAUGAUGUGGCCUCUUGAGGCCCUGGCUCGGAAGCUGUACCGAGCAGCCUGGGGCUGCCAUGCAGCAAGGGCUCAGCUCACCGGGAUCUGGGGGGCUCGGCUUCUGUUAUAGUUCUUACAGUCUUGCAAACCAAAGACAACCAUGCAGCGUCUUUCCCAACAUUAGCACUUGUCUCUCCUCUGCCGUCAUCCCAGCCCCUGCACAAGGC